CGGGGCGUGGCUCAGUUUGGUAGAGCGCUUGGUUCGGGACCAAGAGGUCCUGGGUUCGAAUCCCAGCGCCCCGACCA
rnacentral:tRNA from 1 species